UUGAAUGCUUAAGCUCACAAUUUGUAUCUACAUUUUCACAGUACUGUAAAGCAUACACAAUGGAGAAAAACCAGUGUCGCCUUUGUUUAAAUUACGUUAAGCGUCUUGCAGAUAUGGUUGAUCUUUUUCGUGAACAGAACGCGCAUUUAAUACAGCAACUCAAUUCAACUAGUAAAUUGGAGCUCGAACAAAUUCCAGGACAUCCCGUGCUCAUUUGCAGGAUAUGCCUCAUAGACUUAGGAUGCGCCACCGCGUUUCGCCAACGCUGUGCUCUAACAGAAAAGCAGUUGAUACAAAAGUUAAUUCAGAAUUUGACUACUGCCAACCAAGCGACUUAAACUUUUAAGUCAAUGAGGAUUAAUUACAAAGGUUUCAAAUGAGUUCUAUUCGAAAAACAUUGACUCCUAUUACGAAUGCUUUAUUGAAACACUGAAACAUUGAAAAAUUGUAUAGCAAGGCAUUACGGCAUUUCUUGAGUAAAACUUACUCUGGUGUAAUGUGCUUGCAAAACUGUUGUUUACAAAUUUCGAGAUCGUGGAAGCAUUAAUGAAUUUUAUGUGCUAUAUAUUGUCGAUAAUGUUUCACUACAAAGAAGGAGCUGAUCCAGAACAUUCGUCGUUAAUAGUCGUCCUAUCGAAAGCUAUGAAAUUGCGAAAGGUCUCUUCAGCUUGCGUUGCCUGGGGAAGCAACAAUCCUCGGCAGAUGACUUAUCCAAGUGGCCCAGUCAUGUGGGCCGCGGAACAUCUUGGAUAUGGAUGAGCAUCCUAAGCUAGUCUAUUGAUGUUGUAUUGUCUUAGCCAAAGGCCAUAGUUGCCAGUGCUACUUAAA